rnacentral:rRNA from 1 species
AACGAACGCUGGCGGCAUGCCUAACACAUGCAAGUCGAGCGAGACCUUCGGGUCUAGUGGCGCACGGGUGCGUAACGCGUGGGAACCUGCCCUUAGGUUCGGAAUAACUCCCCGAAAGGGGUGCUAAUACCGGAUAAUGUCUUCGGACCAAAGAUUUAUCGCCUUUGGAUGGGCCCGCGUUGGAUUAGCUAGUUGGUAGGGUAAAAGCCUACCAAGGCGACGAUCCAUAGCUGGUCUGAGAGGAUGAUCAGCCACACUGGGACUGAGACACGGCCCAGACUCCUGCGGGAGGCAGCAGUGGGGAAUAUUGGACAAUGGGCGAAAGCCUGAUCCAGCAAUGCCGCGUGAGUGAUGAAGGCCUUAGGGUUGUAAAGCUCUUUUACCCGGGAUGAUAAUGACAGUACCGGGAGAAUAAGCUCCGGCUAACUCCGUG